UACGUAGGAGGCAAGCGUUGUCCGGAAUUACUGGGUGUAAAGCGCGUGUAGGUGGUGGGCCAAGUCUGUGGUGAAAUCGCCCGGCUCAACUGGGCGGGGUCCGUGGAAACUGGUCGACUGGAGGACGGUAGAGGCGAGUGGAAUUCCCGGUGUAGUGGUGAAAUGCGUAGAGAUCGGGAGGAACACCAGUGGCGAAGGCGGCUCGCUGGGCCGGUCCUGACACUGAGACGCGAAAGCGUGGGGAGCGAACGGG
rnacentral:rRNA from 1 species